AGCCUUCUGUUUCCGUGCUGAGAUUUCGUCAGCGAUCAACCCAUUGGGGCUGAUGCUACUUCACAAAUAAGUAUAGUG
rnacentral:pre_miRNA from 1 species